ACCACUCCCACAAACGUCUACGACCGCGCCUACAUUCGACUACAUAGUUUUGCAUGUUUACAAUUCUAAUUUUGAACAGCCAAUCAGGUUCUUGGUAACAAUUACAAUUAAACGUCGAUUGGCUGUUUAAAAUUAGAAUUGUAAACAUGCAAAAAUAUGUAGGCGCGGUCGUAGACGUUUGUGGGAGUGGU